rnacentral:rRNA from 1 species
GACGAACGCUGGCGGCGUGCCUAAUGCAUGCAAGUCGAACGCAUUUUCUUUCACCGUAGCUUGCUACACCGAAAGAAAAUGAGUGGCGAACGGGUGAGUAACACGUGGGUAACCUGCCCAUCAGCGGGGGAUAACACUUGGAAACAGGUGCUAAUACCGCAUAAUUCCAUUUACCGCAUGGUAGAUGGGUGAAAGGCGCUUUUGCGUCACUGAUGGAUGGACCCGCGGUGCAUUAGCUAGUUGGUGGGGUAACGGCCUACCAAGGCUGCGAUGCAUAGCCGACCUGAGAGGGUGAUCGGCCUCACUGGGACUGAGACACGGCCCAGACUCCUACGGGAGGCAGCAGUAGGGAAUCUUCGGCAAUGGACGCAAGUCUGACCGAGCAACGCCGCGUGAGUGAAGAAGGUUUUCGGAUCGUAAAACUCUGUUGUUAGAAAAGAACAAGGAUGAGAGUGGAAAGUUCAUCCCUUGACGGUAUCUAACCAGAAAGCCACGGCUAAC